rnacentral:rRNA from 1 species
CCAAUAGCGUAUAUUAAAGUUGCUGCAGUUAAAAAGCUCGUAGUUGAAUUUCGGGACCAUCAUGUCGGUCGUACUUAGGUACGUACUGGCAUUGUUGGUUUCUCCCUUCUGACGAACCAUGAUGUCAUUUAUUUGGUGUUGUGGGGAAUCAGGACUGUUACUUUGAAAAAAUUAGAGUGUUUAAAGCAGGCUCACGCUGGAAUACAUUAGCAUGGAAUAAUGAAAUAGGCAGUUUGAUUCUAUUUUGUUGGUUUCUAGGAUCGACGUAAUGAUUAAUAGGGGUAGUUGGGGGCAUUAGUAUUCAAUUGUCAGAGGUGAAAUUCUUGGAUUUAUUGAAGACUAACUACUGCGAAAGCAUUUGCCAAGGAUGUUUUCAUUAAUCAAGAACGAAAGUUAGGGGAUCGAAGACGAUCAGAUACCGUCGUAGUCUUAACCAUAAACUAUGCCGACUAGGGAUCGGAUGAUGUUAAUUUUUUAAUGACUCAUUCGGCGCCUUACG